GCGGGCGUGGCGAAACUGGUAGACGCAGCAGACUUAAAAUCUGCCGGACGAAAGUCCUUGCCGGUUCAAGCCCGGCCGCCCGCACCA
rnacentral:tRNA from 9 species